rnacentral:rRNA from 1 species
UCCGAAGGGGGCUAUCGUUGUUCGGAAUCACUGGGCGUAAAGCGCGCGUAGGUGGGCUGGCUAGCCAGAGGUGAAAUCCCGGGGCUUAACCCCGGAACUGCCUUUGGAACUUCCAGCCUGGAGUGUCGGAGGGGAUAGUGGAAUUCCUAGUGUAGAGGUGAAAUUCGUAGAGACUAGGAGGAACACCAGUGGCGAAGACGACUAUCUGGACGACAACUGACACUGAGGUGCGAAAGCGUGGGGAGCAAACAGG